UAUUGGUGAUGCAGACAAUCUUUGAGAAGAGACUUGAAUCUCUCUCAUGCAUAAUAGAGAUUCUCAGCUAGAUUUUUUUAAAACUCAAAAUCUCACUCCUCAAUCU